rnacentral:rRNA from 1 species
UAGAGUUUGAUCCUGGCUCAGAUUGAACGCUGGCGGUAUGCUUUACACAUGCAAGUCGAACGGAUUAAGAAGCUUGCUUCUUAGUUAGUGGCGAACGGGUGAGUAAUAUAUCGGACAUAUCCGGAAGUGGGGGAUAAGUAGCGAAAGUUACGCUAAUACCGCAUAUGCCCUGAGGGGGAAAGGGGGGGAUCGCAAGACCUCUCGCUUUGGAGUGGCGAUAUCGGAUUGCUAGUAGGUGAGGUAAAGGCUCACCUAGGCGACGAUCCGUAGCGGGUCUGAGAGGACGACCCGCCACACUGGAACUGAGACACGGUCCAGACUCCUACGGGAGGCAGCAGUGGGGAAUUUUGGACAAUGGGCGAAAGCCUGAUCCAGCCAUACCGCGUGAGUGAAGAAGGCCUUCGGGUUGUAAAGCUCUUUCAGCCGGAAAAAAUGUAUCUAUUAAUACUAGAUGCGGAUGACGGUACCGGAAGAAGAAGCACCGGCUAACUCGUGCCGCAGCCGCGGUAA